rnacentral:lncRNA from 10 species
CUUGGGGCGGCCGCCAUGUUUCCUGAACACAAAAUGGCGACACGUGAGGAAGACAAACAUAAAGAUGAAGUGCUUAAUUCAAGGUCACACAAUGUCGGGGAUGGACCUCCAGAUUUCCUUACUGGUGAGACGUGGUCUUGUAACACAGUGGUUAAGAAUGUGACUUUGGAGCCAGCCUGCUAGGGGCUGAAUUCUGACUCAGCCAUUUACUAACUGUGUGACCUUAGUUCCCUGAGCACAUGCUGUUGAGUAAUCCUGCCUGGACCAGUACUUCCCUCACCCUAGACUUCACCUUCAGUUCCCCUUUAUACCACCUGCUGAAGCUGCCAGCCAGCCUUUUCGACCACCCUCCCUCCCCCAGGGGUGUUUGGCUUCUCAGACCCCAGCCUGAGCUAGUGCCCUUGGCUUCCUAGGGUCUUGCCAGGAAAGCAAAGGAGAACAUGCAUACCGC